rnacentral:rRNA from 1 species
AGUGAACGCUGGCGGUAGGCCUAACACAUGCAAGUCGAAUGGCAGCACAGUAAGAGCUUGCUCUUACGGGUGGCGAGUGGCGGACGGGUGAGGAAUACAUCGGAAUCUACUUUUUCGUGGGGGAUAACGUAGGGAAACUUACGCUAAUACCGCAUACGACCUACGGGUGAAAGCAGGGGAUCUUCGGACCUUGCGCGAUUGAAUGAGCCGAUGUCGGAUUAGCUAGUUGGCGGGGUAAAGGCCCACCAAGGCGACGAUCCGUAGCUGGUCUGAGAGGAUGAUCAGCCACACUGGAACUGAGACACGGUCCAGACUCCUACGGGAGGCAGCAGUGGGGAAUAUUGGAGAAUGGGCGCAAGCCUGAUCCAGCCAUACCGCGUGGGUGAAGAAGGCCUUCGGGUUGUAAAGCCCUUUUGUUGGGAAAGAAAAGCAGCAGGUUAAUACCCCGCUGUCCUGACGGUACCCAAAGAAUAAGCACCGGCUAACUUCGUG